rnacentral:rRNA from 1 species
AACGAACGCUGGCGGCAGGCCUAACACAUGCAAGUCGAACGCCCCGCAAGGGGAGUGGCAGACGGGUGAGUAACGCGUGGGAACCUACCUUUCGGUGCGGAAUAACUCCGGGAAACCGGAGCUAAUACCGCAUACGCCCUUCGGGGGAAAGAUUUAUCGCCGAUAGAUGGGCCCGCGUCGGAUUAGCUUGUUGGUGAGGUAACGGCUCACCAAGGCGACGAUCCGUAGCUGGUCUGAUAGGAUGAUCAGCCACACUGGGACUGAGACACGGCCCAGACUCCUACGGGAGGCAGCAGUGGGGAAUAUUGGACAAUGGGCGCAAGCCUGAUCCAGCCAUGCCGCGUGAGUGAAGAAGGCCUUAGGGUUGUAAAGCUCUUUUAGUGGGGACGAUAAUGACGGUACCCACAGAAUAAGCCCCGGCUAACUUCGUGCCAGCCGCCGCCGUAA